rnacentral:rRNA from 1 species
UACGAAGGGUGCAAACGUUGCUCGGAAUUAUUGGGCGUAAAGCGCACGUAGGCGGAUCGUUAAGUCGGGGGUGAAAUCCUGGAGCUCAACUCCAGAACUGCCUUCGAUACUGGCGAUCUUGAGUCCGGAAGAGGUGAGUGGAACUCCUAGUGUAGAGGUGGAAUUCGUAGAUAUUAGGAAGAACACCAGUGGCGAAGGCGGCUCACUGGUCCGGUACUGACGCUGAGGUGCGAAAGCGUGGGGAGCAAACAGG